CGUCGUAGUCCGGAUUGGAGUCUGCAACUCGACUCCAUGAAGUCGGAAUCGCUAGUAAUCGUAGAUCAGAAUGCUACGGUGAAUACGUUCCCGGGCCUUGUACACACCGCCCGUCACACCAUGGGAGUGGGUUGCAAAAGAAGUAGGUAGCUUAACCUUCGGGAGGGCGCUUACCACUUUGUGAUUCAUGACUGGGGUGAAGUCGUAACAAGGUAACCGUAGGGGAACCUGCGGUUGGAUCACCUCCUUACCUUAAAGAA
rnacentral:rRNA from 1 species